rnacentral:lncRNA from 1 species
UUUAUAAUAGUUUAAAUUUUAUAACAUUAUAGUUAUUUUUAUUUUUUUAAUAAUAUAUGAACUUGUUUAUAAAUUUAUUUAACGAAUUGGUUCACCAAUUUAUUUAAACAAUAUUACUCACGAGCCUAUUUAACGAGUCUGCUCGUGAGCAUUCUCAACGAGCCAGCUCGCGAGCCUAAAAACGAGCCAGCUCGCGAGCCUUAACGAGCCGAAUACUAUGGAGCUCAAGCUCAGCUCGUUUAAGUGACGAGCCUCAAAAUUGAGCUCGAGCUUGGCUCGUUUAAAAAACGAGCCGAACUCGGUCGAGCUUUUAUCGAGUCGAGUCUCGAGUAGCUCACGAAUAGCUUGGCUCAUUUACAGCCCUAAU